rnacentral:rRNA from 1 species
UACAGAGGGUGCAAGCGUUGUUCGGAAUUAUUGGGCGUAAAGGGCGCGUAGGCGGUGCGGUAAGUCUGUAGUGAAAUCUCUGGGCUCAACUCAGAGUCUGCUGCAGAAACUGCCGUGCUUGAGUGUGGGAGAGGUGAGUGGAAUUCCCGGUGUAGCGGUGGAAUGCGUAGAGAUCCGGAAGAACACCGGUGGCGAAGGCGGUGAGCUGGGCAGUUGCUGACACUGAGGCGCGACAGCGUGGGGAGCAAACAGG